AAGCUUUUCGCUUUCCAUGGAAAUGCAUGCCUGCCGAUGCUCUUUUCUCUCUUACGAGUCACACUUCUCUUUCUGUGCAGUUCUCUGAUACAUUUCUCAAGUGCAUUCUGUUUGAGUCGGCAUUAGACAAUCAUUCGCUUUGAGUCCGCCUCCAGCUCAAUUUUCGCUGUUCACUGCUCGCUGUUCGCUGUGAUUAUUGUUUAUGUUCACACUUUGCCUUUUGUCAUUUCCUGUCUGAUGUUGUCGUUGUGCCUAGUUUCAUUUCCGCUGGGUCUGGGCGUGGCAGUUCAGAGUCAGUUCCCUGUUUCGUAUUCCUGCCAUUUCCCCUCCCAUUUGUCGCCGCUUUCCAUUCCGAAUCUGAUUUUGACAGCAAGCAAUUGUAUAAGUGGCCUUGGGCGGAAUGGGCGGGCCACCCACCUAUCAACCCAUCAUCUUCCCAUCACGAGCCGAGCACCCAGUCCCAGUCCCAGUCCCAGUUCCAGUCCCCAAAGUGUAUGUGUGUAGUCUCCAUGAAUAUGAAUCAAUUAAUAUAACUCAAUUUUCUCGCAGGUCGCGUAGGAAUGUGAGUGUUUCGAUUUGCCCUACUUUCACCCCAGGUUUAUCAACAAACUGCGUGGAAGUUGAACAUGUGGCGGAGCAGAAAUAGACGUAGCCACAGCUGCGGUCAAUGUAAUAUAAGUGCACCGAUCCACUGGAAACUAAAUCAAAAUAUAUUCUGGCAUAAAAAUGACCCCACCGAACAGGACAGUACACGUAUCUACUGUAGUAUCUACUGUCAAGUCCACAAUGUACCCCCAUACAAUUGGUUCUCUAUCGAAGAAGG
rnacentral:lncRNA from 1 species